rnacentral:rRNA from 1 species
UACGGAAGGCAGCAGUGGGGAAUAUUGCACAAUGGGCGCAAGCCUGAUGCAGCCAUGCCGCGUGUAUGAAAAAGGCCUUCGGGUUGUAAAGUACUUUCAGUCGUGAGGAAGGUGUUAAGGUUAAUAACCUUAGCAAUUGACGUUAGCGACAGAAGAAGCACCGGCUAACUCCGUGCCAGCAGCCGCGGUAAUACGGAGGGUGCGAGCGUUAAUCGGAAUUACUGGGCGUAAAGGGCACGCAGGCGGUUAAUUAAGUUGGAUGUGAAAUCCCCGGGCUUAACCUGGGAAUGGCAUUCAAGACUGGUUAGCUAGAGUCUUGUAGAGGGGGUAGAAUUCCAUGUGUAGCGGUGAAAUGCGUAGAGAUGUGGAGGAAUACCGGUGGCGAAGGCGGCCCCUGGACAAAGGCUGACGCUCAUGUGCGAAAGUGUGGGGAGCAAAC